ACAACGAAACGUGCAAUGUACUUCUUUAUCCAUAUAUAAUAUAGAAAUACGAAGAGACAGAGUAAUUUAAAGAAAAAAGACUGGGAAAAGGGGGGUGUUAGGGUAUAAGAAAGUAAAAAAAAAAGAAAAUAGAAAAAGAACAAUAAAGACGGUAAGAGACAAAAAAUAAAAAAUUAUAAAAUAAAUACACAAAGAACAUAAAUUAUUAACUAACGUAAAAGAGAGAGAGAGAGAAAGAGAAAGAGAGAGAGAGAAUAAAAUAAAAAAUAAAAGCAAGAAGCCUUAGUUCGAUAAACUAACAUAACGAAUUUACAAAGCAUGGCGACGACGUAACGUGCACAUAUACACACGUAUAGGUAUAUAAUAGUAUAUACUCGAGAACAUCGAGUGCACUCGAUGCCCACUUCCGAAGUAUACUCGUUUUCUACCUUUUAAAUAUACACACACACACACACAUAUAUAUAUAUAUUGUAUAAACACUGAACGGAAAAUAACCGAGGCUCGUUUAGUUUCUCUACGUAAGUCUUGUUCGUUCGACGAACGAAAAACGUUGUGCUCGUUGUUAGAACGCUAAGAACUACGAGAUUUAAUCGUUGCUACGCGAAAUCCGGAAAAACGUUUUCGAAAAUAACGUUUCUCGAUUAGAUUUCAUUGUCGCACAUAUAGUUUUCCUUCCUCCCUUUAAAAAGAAUCUAUACGGGGUUCUUUGUGCUUUAAACGUAACCUUUGGAAACCGUUAAAAGUAGUUGUCAACGUUAGGAUAGAUACAAUACAUUUGUAUUUACUCAAUACUACCGAGGUUCCAGGCUGCUCGCUGAUCAAUGACUUCAAUUUAUUGUUCCUCUCUUAUCGAGGUAAAUUUCAACCGAUAUAUAAUAUAACUCGAGAAAAGUCAAAUGGAUAGUAUUAAAAAAAAAAAAAAACAAAAAAAAAAACUAAAAAAAGAAAAAGAAAGUACUUACCUAAGGAUCACGACGAUGCCGUCGAAAACAUUGAAACCGUUGCUGAUGUAGCCAAACGGACCCUCAGCUAUUACCUUAAGUAGCAUCUCAACGGCGAAGAUGGCAGAGAAAACGAUGUUGCUUAUCUCGACGAGCACGGUCAAUUGCUCCGGCUAUAAAUCGUUCGAAAGAAGAGAAGAGACGAAAUGAAGAAAAUUAAGGAAAAAUCUUCAACGAGUUUCAAGUAAAAAGGGAGGGGGAGAAGAAUCGUUACGAGCAAGCAAGACACAGCCAUACCGGUUUGGGUUUGAUUUCGAAACGUUUGAUAUAAAAGGAGAACCCCGUUAAUUAUCAUCCGGAUUACGUUGUUGUGUUUAAUGAAAUAA